rnacentral:rRNA from 1 species
AUUGAACGCUGGCGGCAUGCCUUACACAUGCAAGUCGAACGGCAGCACGGACUUCGGUCUGGUGGCGAGUGGCGAACGGGUGAGUAAUGCAUCGGAACGUACCCGGGAGUGGGGGAUAACUCUCCGAAAGGAGUGCUAAUACCGCAUAUUCUGUGAGCAGGAAAGCAGGGGAUCUUCGGACCUUGUGCUUCCGGAGCGGCCGAUGUCAGAUUAGCUAGUUGGUGGGGUAAAGGCCUACCAAGGCGACGAUCUGUAGCGGGUCUGAGAGGAUGAUCCGCCAAACUGGAACGGAGACACGGUCCAGACUCCUAGUGGAGGCAGAAGUGGGGAAUUUUGGACAAUGGGGGCAACCCUGAUCCAGCCAUGCCGCGUGAGUGAAGAAGGCCUUCGGGUUGUAAAGCUCUUUCGGCCGGGAAGAAAUCGCACAGGCUAAUACCCUGUGUGGAUGACGUUACCGGAAUAAGAAGCACCGGCUAACUACGUGCCAGCAGCCGCCGUAA